CAGCCCUGCUGGCCCGGCUCCUCGCGGCCCCGGCCAGACCCGGCCGGACCGCCGCGGGUGCCUGGGUGCUGUGGGCGGACCUUCCUUCCCCUGAGCAGGGACCGUGUGGGGAGACGCGCCGGGACGGAGCCCGCCCCUGUUCCGGGUGGGCCAUGAUCUCGAUCUCCCGCCGCAGCUGGUGCUCCACCCCUUCCUUCUCCACCUGGGACUUGAAGAGGAUCUUCAGCGCCACCAGGAAUUUCGUGCUCUGCUCCCGUGCCAGGUAGACGCUCCCGAACUUGCCCUUCCCCAGCGGCCGCCCAAUCUCAAAGUCAUCCAGCGUGAAGGUCCGUCUGCAGGGUGGGGGGCAGAGACACACGAUGGCGGGGGCACCCCAUCAUAGGGGGGACACCCCAUCAUAGGGGGGACACCCAGCACCUGCGCCCACACAUAGUCAACACCAACCGCGGUGUCACCCACCAAUGCCCAGGGGUCACAGGACCACCGCACUGUCACCCAUGGGGUCUCUGGGAUGCCCCCCCACUGUCAUACUGCGGGUAACUGGGCCCCCCAGUGCCACUCAAAGUGUCCUUGGAGCUCCCACAAUCACCCCAAGGUCCUCAGGACACCCCACAGUGCUGCCCACCAUCACCCAGGGGGUCUCUGGGACCCCCCAACUUAUUAUACUUGGGUUCCCAGGACGCCCCACGGACCACAGGACCUCAGGACGUCCCCACUGUCACCCCAUGGAUCCCGGGAGCCAUCCUCAUUACCGCAGGGUCCCCUCAGUGCCACCCACCAUCACCCCAGGGGGCCCCAGGGCUCCCUUCCCCCCAACACCCAGGGAGUCUCUGGGACCCCACACUGUGGUCCCCAGAAGCUCCCCAGGAGCCCCCCGCUGUCACCAGGGGGGAACUGGCAUCCCCCAGUGUCACCCAGUGGGUCCCUGGCACCCCCUCCCCCAUCACCCCAGGGUCUCCAGGGUCCCACAUCCCCCCAGGGGUCCCUGUUACCCCCAGGCCCCCCAGUUCCGCCCCCACCGUCACUCACUGUGGCGGGGGAGAGGCCUGCAGGGCAAUGGGCUGCAGGGGCGCAGCUCCUGGUGGGGAAGGCUCAGCUGCGGGAACCCCCACACACACCCUGGGGGCCCCCGAGGACCCUCCCGUGGGACACAGGCGUCCAGGGACCCCAAGGUAACACCCGCGCCCCCACCAAGGGACCCAGGCGUCCGGGCGCCCCAACUCCUCCCCAUGGGGCUCUGUCCCCCGUCCCCCCCUCCCCGUACCUGGCCGGCGCUCCGGCGGGAGCGGCUCCUCGCGGCGAACCUGCGGCCCGGCCGGGGAGGGGGGUCACCCCGAGACACCCCCGCAGGGGUGGGGGACCCCAACACCCUCCCCAGGGACAGGACACCCCCCAAAAAGGGCCCGGGGGUGCCUGAGCGCACCUCCCUAGGACGGGGCCACCCCCAGGGGUCAGCGCGGUCCCAAAGCGCACGGGAACCGCCCGGAGGGUGCCCCAGGGAUGGGGCCCAGGGGACACCCCGAGACCCCCUCCCAAGGACGGCCCCCCCCCGGAGGGGUUUGGGGCACUCCGAGACCCCCCAUCCCAGGGACCGGGACACUCCAGAAAGGGCAGCGUCACCCCGAGUGUCCCCGGGGAGACACCCUGGCAGGGGAACGUGGCGGGGGAGGGGGUGUCACCUCGGGCAGGCUGGGCACGCCGGGGUCCGCGUUCUCUUUCUGCGCCAUCCUGGGGCGGGGAGGGGACACAGCGUCACCACGGGACCCCAGCCCCUCGGGACCCCCAACCACGCGGGACACGCUGUCCCUGGAUCCCCAGCCCCCCGGGAUCGCCCAGCCCCCCGAGCCCCCCGGGACACGCUGUCCCCGGAUCCCUAGUCCCCCGGGAACCCCGUUCCCCGGACCCGCUGUCCCCGGUCCCCGCCGCCGCGCUCUGCGCCCCCUCCCGCCGCCGCCUUCAAACCCGCCCCUCGGCAGGCACGCACCGCCCGCCCAUUGGUCCCCGCUGAGGACGGCCCCGCCCCCACCCGCUUUCCUCCCCACCCGCCUUCCUCCCGCCCCGCCGCGCUUACGCCGUUUCUCAUUGGCCAGCCACGCCGCCCGUCUGGCGGGCGGGGCGGGAGCUCAGCGCUGAUUGGCUGCCGGGCGGCGGCGAUCGGGCUAGACGGUUGUUGUGCGGGGGCGUUGUGAGGGGACACGGUGGUUCCCGGGGUGCGGACGGGCCGGGCCGGGGGUCGCCCUGCCGAGCAGAGAGCGGCCGUGCGGGCAGGGAGUGCGGGAAGGGGAGCGGCGGGGCUGGCGCCUCCGGCUUGUCAGAGGGAAGCUGAGGCAGCGCGGGCAGCGUGUGAACUCAGACAGGCUGCAGGUUCAAUGAGCCGCAGCGCUGGUGGAACGAUGAGUCUCUUGCAGAGCUCACGGGUGGACCUGGCGUUCAGUAAGAAUUCUCUUCAAGCCUUUCAUUUCUUUUUGUGGCUAUUGCUGCUUUACGUGAAGCACCUGAUUCCAUUGGAGCCCCUGUGUGCACAGGGGCACUUCUGCAGCGGCACCGGCGUCAGUGCCAGCGGCCGGGGCUCCUGCCCAGGGACACGGGCUCGUCCCGCCCCGCGCUGGGCAGGACACGGUGCGGCCUGCCGCGCUGGCACGGGACACACGGCGAAGAGAAUAGCAGUGAGUACGUACUUUAUCAAGAGAGUCUUGACAGUUAAUGAUGAAUCCUACUCCAGCUGUUGCCUUGUCAUGAUUUCUGGAAACCCUGGCUGUCUGUCUCUUCCCCUUUUCUGGUAAAGUUGUGGAUUUCUUGCCAGUAUGUUACAAUCAGGUGUUGAUUCUGGAGAUGUUGAACAUGCCCGAGGAAAGCUGUAAAUACAGUGAAACUGGUGAUUUGUAAAGUACAGCGACACGGACUGCAUCUCUGGUUUUCAGUACUUUGUUCUGAGUGGCAUUUGGGAAACGUAAAACAGGAAAAGCCAGCUGCAAGAAUUCGAAACUGGCUACAGGGUUAUGUUGUGGGUUUUUUAACAAAUUUAAUUAGACUCUGGAAAUAUAUUUUUUACCUUUGUAGCAUCUAUAAAAUUAACAAGAUUUGCAGAAACUGUUGUCAGCUGUAAUAGGAAAAAAAGCAAAAGUAACUUUGCCUUUGGUUCAGAGGCGGUAUUUCAGAACCAGAAAUGGAGAUGAAGCUUUGCGUGGGAGGGAGAUCAGCUCGGCACUGGGGAAGCUCCUUUUCCCAGGGUUUCCUGCAGCACAGACUCGGGCGUGGAUUCCAGAGAUUCUAAAAUGUCAGUUUAUCUGCCAGGCCCAGUGUAGAGCAGCUCGAGCUGCUGCUCCUGCAGAGGGACCGGAGCAGGAAGAGUCCCGGGCAGCUCUGCCCGCACGGCCCCGUCAGCCCAGGUUCUGGUGUUGGGUUGGUGUUCUGCACCCGCAGCUCUGGGUGAGACCCGGUCGGACGCGGUUCUGUCCCCUCGCGGUGUGACGGACGCGGCUCCGCUCCCGGGGACACGUCGGUACCUGUGACCCAGAGCUGGGCACGGCUCCGCGCUGGGACGCCUGUGCUGGGCACCAGCAGCACCUCAGACCGCUGCCAACGAGACGCCUUUUCCACUGUCGUCUCGCGGGGGUGGGGGAGUGAGGAUAAAAGUGACAAAAGCAGCUGGAUAGUUCAACUUGUUUCAGAAAAGCCCCAACAUUCCAAAGCCAACCGCAAAGCCAAACAUAUUCCUGUGCAUGCGAGUUUUUCAGGCAGUUCCGGUGGACUGGAGAGUCUUUUAAAAAAAUGCAGUAAAGGCAGCAAGCAUGGGGACCAGCAGCCAGUAACAGCAGUGAGGCAAGUGUUGAUCGGUUAAAUCAGCUCGUCUCACGUUCUGAUAAUGCUCUGUUAACUUUCCAGCUGCCCGGCAUCCCGCCCAUCGGCUGCGGCAGCUCGGCCAGCUGUGCUCGUGUCUUUGGCUGGGGUUUGCUUGUUUGGUUUUGGUUGUUGUUUGUCGUGUGUGGGUUGUUUGUUUGUUUAACCAGGACUCAAAAUGAAUGGGGCAAAAGAGAAGAAGGAGAACUGGAAAGAGCAGGCCAGGCCGGAUAGACGCUUAGAAAUAAAUAUUUAGGGGUGGCAAUGGCACUUGCCACAGUAAUUAUCCACAUUUCCUACAGGUCUAUUCUAAUUAUAUACUAAUAAUUUAUCAAUUUCUUUCAAUAAUUUCAUGAAGACAUAUGUUCAGAAAAUAUUUUAUUCUGAAAAAAUAUUCUAUAUUCGGGUAGUAUUUUCCUGUCCGCAAAGAAAAGCUGCUCUUACAGUUCAUCUUAUGAUUGUCUGGCUGAAAGACACGAUUUACAUACAAGUUUCCAGCAAAGCACAACAAGCCACAAUAAGUCACUGUUAGGGAACAGGCUGCCUUAGCUUAUCUAAUUACUGAGUAUACGGCUUCGUACAGAGCCUGGUUAUUAACGGCUGGUGUAGAACUCGCUCAGCAUAAGGGAGUUUGCCCAGCGCAGCGGUGAGCUGAGAACCCGCAGCCUUCUGUUUGUGAAGGACAAAGGGCUCAGAGCGCUCCGGACAGGGAGCUGCCGAGAGGGGAGCAGGACGGGCCUGACGGGACGGGACGGGACACACAGGGCUGGCGUGGAACCGCAAAUAACUUUUGAUCUGCAGCUGCAAAACAGGAACUUGCAGGUCAGGACUUGGACCGACGGCCCCAUCUGAGGAGAAUGAGAGAUUCCAUGGAGCAGGGAGAGCCCCGGCUCUAGUGGUUGUGCUAACACGAAUCAGCUUUGACCAGACCGAUUUUGAUAAGAAGAGAAACCUUUUAGGAACUAUUUAUAUAAUUGUAAAUAUUUUUUGAAAUAAGUUGUUUGGCAAUACAAAAACUAUGUUUUAACCUUAAAAAAUAGGUUUUCUGGUAACAUUUUGGCUACUUGAUAUUUCCAUUUGUUUCAUGGAUGAGAAUGUAAGACAGAGCUGCUGACCAGGACAAAACAAAGGGGUUUUUGUGGUGUGAUGACUUCCCGCUGUCCAACCUCAGGCUCUGCUGUGCAGAACCUCGCUGGGCUCCCCCGGCCCUCAGCGUCGCACACGGACACAAAGGGGAGAAAGCAGCUGGUUUGGGGACAGAAACGGAGAUGAAGUUUCUGUUCCUGGCCUGAAAACAGGCUCAUGUGGCCGACUUUGGGGCUCGGGAACAGGUUGAGUUGUGCGGCUCUGGGCUCAGAAAUAGAGGUCAAAUCCUGUGGUUUGGGACUGGAGAGCAGGCUCAGCAGCCGGGUUUGGGCUCAGAAACGGGCACUAAGUGAGCUGGUUUGGGGCCAAAAGCAGCAGCUUACACUCCUUAGAACAGUUAACUAAUCAAUCAUACAAACUCAGUAAUAUUUUUACAAUGUACAAUGAUGAUGUUUAAUCCCAAUAUUCAGUUUUUCGCAGCAAUUGGUUUAACAACCUUGUCAAAAGCCCGGACUGUUGGAAGCAGCUGGAGCUUGUCAGGGGAAUUAUAGAAUCAUUUGGUUUGGAAGAGACCCUCAGGAUCAUGGAGACCAACCCUAACCCACCCCAGCACUGCCCCCUGUCCUGAGAGCCUCAUGUCCGUCUGUCCAGCCCUCCAGGGCUGGUGACUCCAGCACUGCCCUGGGCAGCCUGUUCAAUGCCCCACAGCCCUUUGGGGAAGAAAUUGUUCCCACAUCCAACCUCAACCUCCCCUGGGCAACUUGAGGCCGUUUCCUCUGCUCCUGGCGCUUGUUCCUGGGGAGCAGAGCCCGACCCCCCUGGCUCCAAGCUCCUUUCAGGCAGUUCAGAGAUCAGAAGGUCUCCCCUCAGCUCCUGUUCUCCAGCUGAACCCCCAGGUCCCUCAGCCGCUCCAUCACACUUGUGCUCCAGCCCCUCACCAGCUCCGCUCCCUUCUCUCCACUCGCUCCAGCACCUCAAGGGAUGUCCUGCAGUGAUGGGCCCAAAACUGACCCCAGGAUUCAAGGUAUAACACAGUAUUCAAGAAGUACUGUUGAGCCUGACGCCAGCUCUUGCUCAGUUAGAAACAACCCAAGGUCUACUUCUCUGCACAGCUCUGUGUUUCCUCUUCAGAUUCUGUCAUGAGGAGUCCCCAGAGCUUCUCUCUGAGGACCUCCCUGGGUCUGAAUAACCGAGGAACAUCUCUGUAUCUGCCCAGAACCCAGGGAUGGAGGCACGCUGCUUUGGCGGCCCUGCCGGAGAACAAGCUCACCUGGGUGCUCGCAGGUCACCCGAGGCCUCUGCUAUGAGGCGGUUCACGACACCACCGGGCAAGCAGCCGUCCUCUCCCUGCAAGGCACGCUCCAGCUCCCGGUGUGUGUCCACCCGGUCGCCCUGGGGACAGACCACAAAGGGCAGCGAUGGGACUCGCUUUGCCCUCGUUCCCAGGGAGCCACCAGGGACCCACUGUCCUCCAAACCAUCUGUGGGACACGGGCACGAGGCACGGGCUGCAGGCAUCGCGUCGGGAGAGCCACGGGCAACGGCAAGAUCUUCUGCGGCAGCUCUGAGACAAGCAGAGAGCCAGGGAGGGACACGGACCCCACCAGGGGAAGAGGCCGUGGGGGUCACUCCUGAGGACGGGGAAGGUGGCGGUCAGACGGAAGGUGCCAGGCGGGCAAGGGGAGGGCGUGGGGACCAGCCCCUGCCCCGAGGAGGAGAAGCCAUGAGCACCCUGCACCCGGUGUCGCUCCUCGCACAGGCAGGAGCCCCGGGCUGCUGGGACAGCUCCAAACCAAAGCUCAGGAGGGGCCUUGGGUAGCUGGGGAAGGGCGCUGGGGAGAAGCUGGGGCUGACGGCAGAGGCCCUGCCCUGCCCGGGAGAGAGCUGAGAGCUCCUGGGGACAGGAGGGAGGCAGCAGCGACAUUAGUCCCACCUGAGCGGCAGGAUCAGCGCUUGGGGACACAGCUUGCGGGGCAGAGAUGGCGUCAGACAAGAUCCCUCCUCUGCCGUGGAACCUCUUGUGUUUGAACCCAUUAACCCCUUGUCCUCAUUGGUUGUCACCGAGAAGAGCCUGGCUCCAUCCUCCUCACACUCACCCUUUAUAUAUUUGUAAACAUUAAUAAGGUCACCCCUCAGUGUCCUCUUGUCCAGCUCCAGAGCCCCAGCUCCCUCAGCCUUUCCUCACACGGGAGAUGCUCCACUUCCUCCAGCAUCUUGGUGGCUGCGCUGGACUCUCUCCAGCAGUUCCCUGUCCUGCUGGAACUGAGGGGCCACAGCUGGACACAAUAUUCCAGGUGUGGUCUCCCCAGGGCAGAGCAGAGGGGCAGGAGAACCUCUCUGACCUACUGACCACCCCCUUCUAACCCACCCCAGGUCCCAUUGGCUUCCUGGCCACAAGGGCCCAGUGCUGGCUCAUGGUCACCCUGCUGUCCCCAGGACACCCAGGUCCCUUUCCCCUACACUGCUCUCUAAUAGCUCAUUCCCCAACUUACACUGAACCUGGGGUUGUUCCUGCCCAGAUUCAACACUCUGCACUUGCCCUUGUUCUAUUUCAUUAAAUGUUUCCCCACCCAGAUUUGCCCAGACUAGAUGAUCUUUCGAGGUCCCUUCCAAUCUCUAACAUUGGGGGGGGGCGGGGGGGGGGGGCGGUGCCGGGCGCGUGGGGGGAGGGGGCGGUGGCGGACGCGGACGGGAUUGGCUCCUGCGCGGGAUGGGCGGGGCCACGCUGCAGAAGCGCGCGGGCCGAGGAGCGCGUGCCGCGGUGCGGCGGCGGGAGCAGCGCGCGAGGAGCGGCGGGGCCGGCGAAGAGGCGGUUGACCUGCAAUUCCAGAGCGAGGAGAAGCAGAACUUGGCAUGGCCUCUGAAAUCCUCCUUUAAUCUGGGCUCAGGUUCAGAAUACUGGGAAUUCCAAGCUUCAAGUUUCCUGUGGAACGUUGCGGGAGACCUCGAUAACGUGGCACUGAGGGAGCACCUGACCGAACGGAGGAGCAAGUGGACGGGAAGUUCCUGCACCACACACAGAUCACAUUUAUCGCUCUCGCCCUCAGAGACCCGGAGAUCCAAACCGUUCGCAUGGUGCCUUGAAGCAGCCUGUGCUCAUGCGCUUCUCCAGGGGGAAGGCGGAAUGGCAGUGACUGGCCACAUUGAGCCACAGGGUGCACACUCUGCAGCUGUCAAGCCCAGCUCUGCGUCAGCUCACACCUGCACUUUUUCACUGCACAUGCAAAUCUGAGUUGUCGCUGGUUGUCGCAGCGUUUGGCUUUGGUGAGGACAGCGUGUGUUUGUCAGCAGUUGGUGUAGGUGGAAUCUGGAGGAGAAAGCGAUAUUUCCGUGCCAGAACUGGUUGGUGUUUGCAUGGUAUUGUGCCGGUUGUUCCCGCAGGCGAUCAGUGCUGGAGUGUUAUUGCAGGAAAGGGGAUUUUGGAGGCUUGUCUGUGAGAUGCACCAGAGGCAGCAGCUGAAAGCGAAAGGCUGAGAUUUGGAGGGUUUGUGGGUGGUUUUGGGCGGUUGUCAGCUGAAGAGUUGGCUGUUUGCAGGUGAGGUGUAGGGCAGAGGGUGAAGCUGACUUUGCCUGGGCGGCGCAACUGGCUGGGUGUGCAGAGCUGAGGAGAGCGGGCUGCUGCGGGUGACCCUAAAGCUGGAGAACCGGCCGGCAGCUCCAGAGGCUCCCGCUGCCGGGCAGGGCCGUGCAGGCCAGUGCCCUGGGGCACAGCGACGUGACCUCCGCAAGGACCAAAGAGCAGGUGGAGCAGCGUGCGAAGGAAAAAGGAAGCAGAGGAAGACGGUGAGCCUGCGAGGAAGAGUGUAGCGAGUCUGGCGUGGACUCACGGGGAGCAGCGUGCAAAGGAAAAGCGAGGAAGGAGGCAGAGUGAUGGAUACAGAGGGUUGGAGCGCACCUGCCGGCCAGGAGGGAUCAGGGAAGAAGACACCGGUGGUGGAACCGCAGGUCAGGAUUGCUCAAGGAGGGAGAAAGGUGGUGGUACAAUCGACAGGAGGGAUUUGGAAGAAAUUCCCCCCGGUUGUAUUUUGUGACACUGGAAAAGGAUCGUUUGACUCGCUGGGGAACAGCAACCAGGGGAAUCUGAUUGAAUAUUGUAAUUAAUGGUGGCCACUGUAAAUAAUAUUAACAUGCUGCACAGGUCUAGGUGGGUAUACUUGGAGAUGUGUAGUAUAGUACCGCACUACAUGUAAUAUAUAAUAAGAUGUAUAUUUUAAAUCACAUAUUGCUUAUUACAUAAUGUGUAUUACACAAUACAUAAUGUUACAUAUGCAUUGUAUUUAUCCCCGUCAGAUCCAUUUGUUUUGAAAAAGGAUAAUCAGAAGUUGAAACCAGUAAAAGGUUUGUUGAAGAGCAGCUAUUGGUGUAGAGUACACAGAGCACACGGGAUCAGAACUGUCCCGCGGUCGGUCCAGGGUGGCAUCCUGAUGUCCUUACAUCGGGGACAGGCUGCAUUGCUAUGGACGGUGCAUUUCAUACGGGAUUAGACGCGCUGUGCCUAAAGCUGUAAAUACGCCAAAACCUUCUGAGAUUAAACAGGAUCGUGAGGAGUCUCCCACUGAGUUUUUACACCGUCUUAAACCGACAGCUCAGAAAUAUAUUAAUAUAGGUCCUGACCUGGAGAACAGAGAAAUAGAAUUCUUAGUUGACUGGGUGCUCAUUAUUCAGUGUUAAACACUGUGCAGGGAAUAUUAAGUAGCGAUUCUGUAACAGUUAUGGGUGCCACAAAAACUGCAAAACACGGCCCUUUAACCCGCUGCUUAGAAUGUUUGUGUGUGGAGCGUGGUACUUAUUGAUUGUGUGCCGUGUGUCUUCUCUUGUGCACAACGAAUGGUUGACAGAAGCUUUAGUGGUGCAGUGGCUGUGCAGUUACACGCUGCUGUGGCUGCAGUUGUUGAACAAAGAAGGGGAGAUGUGGCCGGGUUGUGACAUCAGUUGUGAGAAACUGCAAGAGUCACAGCGUGAGAACAAGCGCUGGUGGAACAACACAAGCAGCAAAGACUGUGUGGGACAUGAACUGUCAGGGACAGAGGGAUUGAUACGGGAUUGGGACAUCAGGGACAGGGAUUGAUAUGGGAUCGGUACAUCAGGGACAGGGAUUGAUACGGGAUUGGUACAUCGGGAACAGAGGGAUUGAUACGGGAUCGGUACAUCAGGGACAGGGAUUGAUACGGGAUUGGGACAUCAGGGACAGGGAUUGAUAUGGGAUCGGUACAUCAGGGACAGGGAUUGAUACGGGAUCGGUACAUCAGGGACAGAGGGAUUGAUACGGGAUUGGGACAUCAGGGACAGGGAUUGAUACGGGAUUGGGACAUCAGGGACAGGGAUUGAUAUGGGAUCGGUACAUCAGGGACAGAGGGAUUGAUACGGGAUUGGUACAUCGGGAACAGAGGGAUUGAUACGGGAUUGGUACAUCAGGGACAGAGGGAUUGAUACGGGAUUGGUACAUCAGGGACAGAGGGAUUGAUACGGGAUUGGUACAUCAGGGACAAAGGGAUUGAUAAACAGGGACAGGGGUUGAUACGGGAUUGGUACAUGAGGGACAGAGGUUCGUGAUGUUUCAAAUGCAAACCUGAGUUUGUAUUAAAUGUCUCUUCGCAUCUCAAAGAGUGUCUGUGCCUCACUUGCUACACCCCUUUAUCUGUUUCCCAAAUUGCGAUUUAAACUGUAUUUACCAUUGUAAAAAUAAAGCUUUCCCCCCUUAAUUUUUGUCACAUAUUGUAAUUAGAAUUAAUAGACAUAUUGAAGCCCGUCCUAGCUGAACUGGAGAAAAGACAGCAGCCAUGUGUAUUUUUAAAUAAAGAGUAAAUCAAGUCUGCUA